GAUCAUUUUUUGUCCACUUUAAAGUCCAUUUAAAGUUAACGCUGAUUUUGGGUGAUCCGGAGCGAGUCUCGUCACGAGCUGCAUCACUCCUGACGACUUGAAAUACUUCUUUCUUUUCAGCGCGCACUAGGCACUGGACGAUUACGCUCAAAAUGCGCGCCUUACCAGUGGACGGCCACCUAUGGUGCGGUAAUGCCUUGAAGACCGUGGUGCACUAGCGUUCUGCGGACUGUGCCCGAACGUCCGAGACCUCUACUUCCUAGCAGCAGAGUACCACUACUGCCCGGCGUUCAGCGGGACCUACAUCAGUACGGACCCUCAGCUGGUCGAGCAGCUGGCGCGGCCGGUACCCGGUGGUGUCGAGCUAGCUGUCUGCCUGCGACCGAGCCGUCCUGGGGCUCCGGUAUCCGGUGGUGUCGAGCCAGCGGUCCGCCUGCGACCGAGCCGUCCUGCCGGGGCUCCUGCUCGGCUGGACCCUGGGCAACAGCCGCACCGCGCCCCGCCGAACGAUCGCCGGGCUGCACUCUGAGUACUGCCUUCGGGUGCAGGCGUACCUGGCCGACUGCCGGCGACACUAUAGUACCAUAGUAGUCUUCUGCAGCUGGCGGUGCAGUACCAGCCGCCGCCAGACUUUGCCGCCCCGCCCGGACCCGCGUGAUACUUGGCAAUGCACCUGCGGGACAACUGGCAGCGGCUGCCCCUGAUGAAGGCGGCCUGCACGAGCACUUACGGCCAGACAGUGGACUGUCUGGCCGUAAAGAUUGACUCUACCAAGAAGAUCACCAAGAAGCUGGCGGGAUUGGCGGCUAGCUCCGCCACAUGGGCCACCUCGGUCGGCAGCGAACGCGGUGGGAUGCUGAAGGCACCGUCCUCACCAUCUCCGAAGGACUUGUUGACCUGGAGCCGCUGGCCACCGACCUGGUGAGCAUUUCCGCUCGGCCGGCCAGCCGCCCCCGGCAGCUCUCUACACCGACAUCA